UAGUUCUAGGGGAAAAAUUAUUGCUAAGGAGCUUCGUCAUCUUGCCUGCUUUUGAGGCAAGUGCAGUGUUCUUCAUCCAGUUCAAUCGUGGAUUAUCUCUUAUAACCAAGAUUUUAAAAGACGUUAUGUAACACCCAAACUUAACACAGAAAGAUAGCAUUAACAAGAAGAAAACCUUGCAUCACUUUCUAAUAAACUUGUAAAAGACGAUGCUUCUUCGGAAAAAACGCCAUGCUAUAAGUCACAAAGUGGUUGGACAUAAUCUGUUGCACGUCCAAUAGACAAUAAAAUCAAAACAAAAAACAACAUAAUACAAAACAAACUCCUCUGAAGUAUGAUUACUCACCUAUAAGAGACCCACAUCUAACCAACAUGAAAGAUAAGCUUACAAGUCUCAAAGCCAACAAGCUGGACACACCGUCAAACACACAAAUAAAAAUUGCACCAUUCACUUGAAGAUCUUAAAACAACAAACGACAAGAAAACAUAGCUAUGAAUCCUUCAAAAUCAUUGCAACGACACCAUGAGAGAAAGACCGCACCUCCAUUGAUGAUCAUAGCACUUGUUGGAAGAAAACCCUUGUAUAAGUCACUUCCCACAAAUGUCGAGUUUUCUCUUCAUAGUUCUUAUCAAGCACACAAAUCACAAAAACAACACAUCAAGUUUGAACAAAUAUUGUCACUCUAAAACUGGAGUUGAGUAGUUAGUCAUAAUUGCUAUACGGCUCUUUUUCGUAGAAAAAGAGAAUAACCACAAUCACAAAGGGACUUCUGGACAAAAUUAUAAAACGACUACUCCUAAGAUACGGUUUAUUCUUUAAAUGUGUGGUUCUGAUAUAUAUAGUAACACAGUAUUAGGUAUCAACUAGGCACAUCAUGCUCCCAAAAUCUUGCCAAUACAUGGAGAAUAUAUACUUGGUUUCCCCUUCCCCUCCAUGUGCAUGGAAGAGGGACUUAUGUCGGAGGCUCGGAGCUGAUCAUGCACAAUCAUGCCAACAACAACAUAUGUUACAUAUCCAUAUAUGCGAAGCAUGAAAAAGCUUUUCCAAUGCAGAAAGUCAAAUUCUUUUGCUUUUUCUAUUUUUCUUCCAUAUUCUUUACUUGUAUGAUAUUCUCAUUUGGCAUGCUUGGAAGGGUAGGGAAUGCAAUUGCAAAGUCAUACUGGGCAGACAGACCGCUGUCUGGACUGGAAUAUCGAACUUUCUUUUGUUGAAUUAAGCUUCAACCACGAUUCGAUUCACGAUCCGGAAACAGGAGCGGGAGCGCCGGAAUUCGAAAUGAUUUUAUUAAUUAAUAGAAAUUUUAUAAAUUAAUUAACAGGGAUUUUUUAAAUUUACAUGCCAAAGCAAUGCUCGUGGCUUUUUCCAAUAGGUCAUUUUCAUAGAUAUGUAGAGAUGAAGGAUCACGUAGGAUCUCUUGAUAUGACAUGUUCUAAAUUUUCACAGACGUGCGGGAUUUGUUCGUUUUUAAACUUGUGCUAUUUUUGGAGUACAAAAUUCUUCUUUUGCAGUGCUUUCAUCAGAGAUCCAUUA
rnacentral:lncRNA from 1 species